UGGUAACACGCGGCUGGAGCUUCGUCGCCGACAGGGCGACCCACCUCCUCCUCCACAGAACAAGAUCCCAAAGGGCCGGUUCCACCUGAGAAGAGCUCGAUGAGCUGCACGGCUCACGCACGAUGAGCAGGAGGCCCAGGGAGAAGGAGCCCUCCUUGCUGGUCUCCGACGGCCGGCGUCGGCAGCACAACCGCCUCCUCCAAGAGGAGGCCCUCCUUGUCGGCCUCUCCCGUGCUGGUGCCAGGGAAGCUCAAUGCUCUCGGCAAGGAAACCAGGGAGCAGGCGCAGAAUCAAUGGCAAGCCGAGUCGACAGGUGACUUCACACAUCAAAUCGAAUCAAUGGUGAUUUUCUACUGGCACAUCAGUGCAAAAAAAAUGACAAUUGAUAGCCUCUCCUUUAGCUAUCAUACCAUGUGUUGUGUCACUAAGUUACGAUCUCAGCUGCGGUCUACAUAUUUUCAGAUUACUGAAGUUUAAUUAUAGCCCUCCAAUGCAGUAUCUGUAUGCUUUACAAAAUUAUCCGAGUAUUGCAAAAUUGCAUGAUACAUCAAAUUGGAGCGUAGCCUACAUACUUAUGGACUGUGGACUUAUGUUGCUUAUUUAGAGGCUACCGUACAUGGAUCAGGUAUGAUAUUGAUUGCAGAAAUUUCUAUACGACUCUUGCGAAUUUCAACCUUGUUCUUCUCCAUGAUUUAGGAAAACUACAACUAUUUGGUGCACGAUCUAAAAUAGCUGCAGGCUAAUCCUCCGCUAAUGUUCAUAAUGUUAUGUGGUACACAAUAUGGGUAAAGGAGAGCACAUUGCUCUAAUGUUUUUGCAUAUGAUAUUAAAUCAGACAUUUCAGUGGAUAAUAUAUGGUAUUGACUUGGACAUUGGUGCUGUGGAACAAUCUAGCAGGUAUUGGAUCUUAUAGAAUUAUAGAGUUGGCAGGGUCUGAAAAUCAUGGUGUUGGUGUUUCAGCCUAUCAAACGCUAACCCGUCUCGCGGUGCGCCACCGUCCGUCGCGGCCGCCCCUGCCACCUCCCGCCGCGGCCGCCGCCCCCAUGUCCCACCGCGGUCGCUGCCCGCGCCAACGACCCCUUCCCCGCCGCCGCGCCACGGGUCCACUUCGCCAUGAGCUCCAGCGCCGACCAUCCCGCCGCUGCUCGUGAUCCCCUCUUCCAUCAGCUCCACUUCACCGGAACCGAAAAUCAGCCAAGAUACACAACAAACAUAUCAACCGCAGCUAUCUGCUAUGCGCACAUGUGCGAAAACAAACUUAUUAAUCCUUUGCCGUAGACAAUACUGAAGCACUAACACAAACAAGAUCCUUCUGAAGAUAGUCUCUGAAUGCAAAUGAUCAUGACUUAUGAAUUUGGAGCCAUGGCCCAUGUGUAGGCAAGGGCAAUGAUCCCAUUUACUACUUGAGCGGUCCAACAGAGAUUAUUGAAGGUUGUUUCUGAAGUUGUGAUUGACUGGAACCAAAGGAAAGUUGGAGACUUUUUUGGUGUCAAUUGCUUGGAUUAAGUGGGAGUGAAGAUGUUCUUUCUGUCUAUAUCUGGUUCUAUUAUUGGCAAAUUUGUGCCUUCGAGAUUGCUGCGAGUGUUUGUGUUCUCGAGCUGAAAAUUUAGAUUAUUACCAUGUUUGGUCUCCUGAAUAUAAAUCAUGAUUCUUUGCAUCUCAAUUGCAGACCAGCAGACCUUUCCGUCCUCAUAUUCCCCGGAUUCGUUUUCUGCGAUCGAGCGCCCGAGCGGUUGCAUCUCGACGGCAGUUCCCUUUACAACCGAGUUAGCUUUAUACUAUGAGCAGUGAGAAAGUCAUGUAUAAAGAAAAAACAAAAUAUUGGUCUGCUAUCAAAUGGUACAUUUAUUUGAACUCUAAGGGCAGGUUCAGGGUCUCAUGAAGAGGGCAUGUGUUUGUAUUAGAUCAGAAGGUUUUGCAGUUGACAAGCUUACAGGUUUGAGCACCCCGAACAACGGGGUGGACCCUUUGACCUGUGGGUUCUGCUGGUACCAAGAGAAGGAGGUUCCUUUUAACCUGCAGGAGCUCUGCCAAUGGCAGUGUGCUUUCCUUGACAAUGACGUGGUACUGCACGUAUGCAAGAUGCAGCGAGUGAAAUCGGCGCAAGAGGGCAUCUUGCAAGCAGCACCAAAUCCUAUAUUAUGGGACCGAAUUUGUGUCACAACUUCAAGGUGAAGAAUUCACAUGUGCCUGUACGUGCCCUCUACACCUGGGUCGAUUUCCUCCUCAGCUGCGGCGGUGGCCAAUGUGUGCAUCAUCUCUUCUCUUUCCAAUCAGAUGCUGGGUGCAAAACUCCAACAAUACUUCCAUCUGCAGCAACAAACUCUGGUAGAGUUAACUCACGUCAGCAUAAGGCAUGAAGCUUUGGAAUUUGCAGAAAAAGUACUUGCACUAAGAGGUAAUUUACAGUUAAAAUAUCUCCUUUAUUUGGUUUAAGAACAUGUUCUGAUGUUACUUUUGAUUUGUAUAUAAAAUUCUAAUAAUUCUGCAGCAAGUCUUUCUCGAGGAAAUAGGAAAAACUGCAACACUUUUUUUGUCUUUUUGAAGAUGCACCAUGGACCAUAGUGAAAAAUAUCGCGAACAGAUGUAUCUAGCAUUGAAAUGCGCCUAGAUACACCCGUUUGAGCGAAAAGUAAUAUGGAUAAGAGGGAGUAUCACUUUUUGAUGUUGCGGGGCACCAUGGUACAUGUACGUGUCAAAAACAUCAAGUUCAAAACUUCGUGGCAUGCUUCCACCCAAUGAUUAGUCAACAUGAUAUCAAAUUUCAAGGUUGGGGAGAAUCAUAAUGGACUACUGUGCAUUUGGAUGCAAGGAACCAUUGGUGCGCAUAUGCUACUGCCACAAAAUCAAUUUCCCAUCUACUUCUUAUUUCAGUCACAUGAAUGGGAUCAAUGCAAAGUAAGAUUGCAUUCUUAUUCCAUUUAUUAUUGCCCAAAUCAUUUAUCAUAGUUUAGACGGCAUACUCAUCUUGCUUCCAGUUUCCUCGAAUGGCCUCUCAAUCCAUGUACCAGAUCAUUAGAUGGCACGCAUGUAUGAUGUAUAUACUUUGCCUUUACUCUGCAUUUUUGUUUGUCCUUUGUUUAUGUUUCGAUGCCCAUAUUUCAGCAAUUAGCAAGUGCUGCAACAUACUAGGAAGAAGUUCUUGUGGUCCGGAGUUGGAAGGAUCAAUAAAAACAGUAAUCGGUCACUUGCUUUCUUUCUGAAAACAUAUCUGAAAGGAGGCUUGUUUGACAUAUGUUUCGAUGCUCAUAUUGCAGGGUUUAGUGGCUGCAUCAACAUUGUAGGAAGAAGUUCUUGUUUUCUGGAGUUUGAAACAUCAGUAGUACGCUGUUGAGAUGCUCUUCGACCCUUUUUUUUGACAAACACAACAAUGUAGCUACUCCAUUGAAUAACUUACCUUGUGUUGGUAUUCAUCAUUAUAAAUAACACUGAGUCUUGUUCAUCA